CGCCGGAGGAGCGCCGGCCGGCAGGACUAGGGGCGGCGGACAGCGGCUGCCCCAGGAGGCCGGUGCCCAGGGAGGGGCCGUGCGGAGCCGACCCGGGCGUCCCCCGCGGACGCGCCUGCUGUCUCCCUGAUCCAGCCUUCUUCGAGCCACUUUUGUGCGGGGGUUACCGUUUCCCCUCUUUCUCCCUCCAAGUUGCGGAGCAAACUUGUACUAACUCCAGGCAAACUGGCUGAGCCCUAGGCCCAAGGCCAGGACAGACGUCCUCCACCAUCUACAGUCAGGCUCCUCUUCACAAGAUCCACUGUGACAUUCAGGGUUGACUGUGUGGAUCACAACAAAAUGUGGAAAUUUUUUUAAAAGAUGGGAAUACCAGACUACCUUGCCUGUCUCCUGAGAAACCUGUAUGUGGGUCAAAAAGCAACAGUUAGAACUGGACAUGCAACAACAGACUGGUUCAAAAUUGGGAAGGGAGUAUGAUAAGGCUGUAUAUUGUCACCCUGCUUAUUUAAUGCAUAUACAGUGUACAUCAUGCGAAAUGGUGGGCUGGAUGAAGCACAAGCUGGAAUCAAGAUUGCCAGGAGAAAUAUCAACAACCUCAGAUAUGCAGAUGAUACCUUUCUAAUGGCAGAAAGCAAAAAGGAACUAAAGAGCCUCUUGAUGAAUAUGAAAGAGGAGAGUAAACAAAUGUUCACUUGAAACCCAAUAUUAAAAAAACUAAGAUCAAGGCAUCUAGUCCCAUCACUUCCUGGUGAAUAGAAGGGGCAAAAUUGGAAGCAGUGACAGAUUUUAUUUUCUUGGGCUCCAAAAUCAUUGCACAUGGUGACUGCUGCCAUAAAAUUAAGAUGCUCGCUCCUUGAAAGGAAAGCUAUCACAAACCUAUACAGUGUACUAAAAAGCAGAGACAUCACUUUGCCAACACAGAUCUGUAUAGUCAAAGCUUUUCCAGUUGUCAUGUACAGAUGUGAGAGUUGGACCAUAAAGAAGGCUGAGCACUGAAGAACUGGUGUUUUCAAAUUGUGGUGCUGGAGAAGACUCUUGAGUGUCCCUUGGACUGCAAGGAGAGCAAACCAAUCAAUUCUAAAGGAAAUUAACCUUGAAUGUUCAUUGGAAAGACUGCUACUGAAGCUCUAGUACUUUGGCCACCUGAUGCAAAGAGACAACUCAUCGGAAAAGACUCUGAUGCUGGAAAAGAUUGAGGGCAGGAGGAGAAGGGGUGACAGAGGAUGAGAUGGUUAGAUAGCAUCACCAAUUCAAUGGUAAUGGAUCUGAGCAAACUCUGGGAGAUAGUGGAGGAGACAGGAGCCUCGCAUGCUCCUGUCCAUGGAGUCACGAAGAGUCAGACACAACUUACCACCUGAAUAACAACAAUAAUGCUCAAAAAGCAGGAGCUUGUUUUGAAUUCUAGUUUCUGGCAUUGUUGAGAUUUUUGUUAAUUAAUUUGCACAGGGAUCUUGUAGAAAGUUUCUGGACUCUACCCAAUGCCUUGCUCAUGUUAAGGGUUUAAAAUUGAGACUAAAUAUUUUAUCCAAGGUGUCACUACUUGUCUUACUAGAAACACUAGCCUAGAGGUUUCAACUGGUGGCCUGAAAACCAAGUUCAGGAUGCAGAUGUAGUUAUGUGGGGUCCAUUUAAUAUUUUUUCCAAUUAAAGUAAUUUAUUAAUAGCAGCAUUUAAAAAUCAAGAGAUUUCAUAUUCAAAAUGUGGAUUUUGUGUUUCUUUUGAAAAAUGGAAAGUGCUGGCCAACUGGGUGGGCUUUCAUGCAAGCUGGCAUUUCGAA